UGAGAUAUGAUGAAAUAGUGACUUGGCCACAAGGACAUUUACUAUAUACCAUGUUAUUAGACAUGAGGACUUGGUACUUGCGACAGAUUGUUUGAUUACUUGCCAUUGUGCUCAUUCGCACAUGCUUGUGAGGGUCGCUCCCUACAAGCCGGCACUCCGGAGAUGGCCAUCGCGAUACAUAUUCGCCGUGCGGGAUUGGGCGCCGAAGUGGAUUGCCGUGGGCCAGGCUCAUUCCUAGGGUGGGGAUGAUGACUACCACGGGGCCAUUAGGCUCGGCACCGGCCAGACAGCCUACGGGUGGGUCUCAGGGCCUUAGACAGCCUUCGGGUGGGUCUCUUCAGAUUUGACUUCGAGUAUUCACGAUGACUUAGAGUAUUACUUAGACAUUGACUAGAAUAGUAAACAUCGGCAUUUUACUAUUUCGCAUUGUGAACAUUAUGAUAGUUGGAGACUAUUACUUCAUGCAUAGUUGCUUUCGUACUCAUGCUAUUUAUGCUAAGUGGAGACCUUAUGCUAUUGUAAGUUAUAUUUUACUUACCGUCUAAUUAUUACAUUGUUAGUCACUGACCUCUUCUUGUAGCUUUUGGGCCUUGUGGCGCAGUUCACUGAAGUCAGUAAUUGCCCACUGGGAACUAUUUUUAAUAGUUCUCACGCCCCUGUUUCUAUGUUUCCUUUUCAGAGCCUUCGGCACCGGCGGAGGCACGGGAUCGCGGCAAGGGUGUCGCGUAGCUAGCCGGGAGAGUUUCUUUUGCGCUAGGUGGUCGCUUCUUCUCCAUUUUAUAUUUUGAGAGAGCGUGAGGCUUUUGGUUUCCAUGUAUAGAAAGACCACCUGUGUACCUACUUUUAGCACUCGUUAUGGGAUCCCUAUUGUACUUACUUUAUGUUUUAUUUAGUGGAUUUACUGUUUUAUCCUUAUCCCUUGUUGUAGCAUUUAGACAUUUAUUAUGCUCUGAUACUUCUAGAUGUCUUUUAUCAUUGCUGUUAUUAUUGUUGUUUUUAGACGCCUUAUAUGUUGUAGACAUAUGGCGGGUCUGGGCACGCGCCGGGCGGGCUCCCGCUGGGUCCCGGGGCGUGACAUAUCAUGAACCACUAUAUCAAUGUAUAAUGAAUAUGCUCUAUCAUGGCAGCAAAGUAUACUAUAAUGCAACAAUUAAGACUAUCAUGUAUACUACAAGUCCCAACACUAUGCUAUAAGCAUGUCAAGGUAAUCAAACUACUAAGCCUAUCUAGUAGUGAUAGUCAUUUUCCGGUUCAAUGUCAUUGUUUCCAACAUGUUCUAGGACCUAUAUAGUGUAGUCCAGCUUGUGCCACCUAAGUGUCGGUGGUAGCUCCAGCAUUCCCACUCUAGGAAUGAGUCUAUCCUUCCCGACCCCGUAGGUUUCUCGAUACCGCACGAGUGAGCAUAAGUCACGUAGGCCAACUCCGGAGUGCCGGCUUGUAGGGAGCGACCCUCACAAGUAUGUGCGAAUGAGCACAAAUGGCAAACAAGCGUAAUCAUCGUCUCAAGUACCCAAUCAUCAUGUCUCUAAUAUGGUAAUAGUCACUAGUAUCUCAAUGAUCUAGCUCUAGGUCACAAUGUGAAGUUCCAAUAUUUACUAAGUUUAGUGACCCUUUAUGACACUUAGACAUUUCGAUAUAUAAGCAUGUUCCAAUUCUCUUAAUGGCCCUAUCCACAAGGUUCCCACAUAACCCGAGCUCAAUGCCGCUUUAUGACAUUAGCUCACAAUUUCACAUGUCAAUUUAGUCCAAUGCCCCUUUGUGGCAUUAUAAUAAUUUCAUGUCCAACUAGGGUUUAAGUCCAAUGGCACUUUACAUAGAUCAAUUCUGCUAUAUAAACAAGAACCCAAGUUUACCAUAAGAAUGCUAAUGCACACAUAAGCCUCAUAUGCAAGUUCUCUACUUUAUAGGGGUUCAAAAAUACAAUGUAUGUAACAUAGGCAUUUUAAGCAUUCUAAAAUUCAUAAUAAAUACAUUUAUCAUGAAAAUUCAUGAAUUUCUAUUUUACGAAGCAUAAAACAUCGGAUAUGAGAAUUCUCAUAUGCUAGGCUAGGUCAAAUCCACCGAACCGUCUCGAAACCCUUCGUUUCGCCGAACGAAGUUGUCCACAAAUCUCUAAGUGCCCUAAAGGUAAGGAGCGAAGAGAUAAACAAACGUUACGAGUAACUCUAGGCUCAAACAUUAACCACCACAAGCAAAGAGGCAAAAACUCACCUAGGGAGUAGAAAAUCUCUCUCAAGCUCCAAAAGAGAGCUAGAUCCCUUCCAAUCCGACCAAAUGGAAGAUUCUAAACCAAGUAAUUGAGCCUCAAAAGCCCUAGAAUCAAAAUGCCCAAAAUCAACCCUAAAAUCACAUUCUAGUGUUUCAUCUACCAUAAAGCAACAAAACUCAAAUCUAGAGGGAGAGAAUCGGCUACCAACCUCUUAGAAGCUUCAAACAAAGCUCAAAGUCCUCAAACUUCAAGGAUCUUCCCUCAACUAUGCUCCAAAUCCAAGCUCCAAGCUUCAACCAUGGUGGAGAUGCACAAAGAGGGAAAAGAGGAAGAUCAAUCCACUAAAAUCCAAGCAAAAAGGGGUAUAAAUCCAAAGAGGGAGAAGAGAGGAGGUCCCUACCUUCUCCUCCACUGGUUCCAGCUCAGGGAGAGCUCUAGGGGGCGUGGGGAUACAAAUAGAGUUGCUACAAUAGCAAUUACACCCCUGCAGAACCGUCUGUUCAGAAUCUGUCAUUGCGUACCGGUACACGGGUCCACGUACCAGUACACAUCCCAUGAAAAGGCCAAACCCGAGCCACGGGUUUGCCUCAAAACUGCCUGUGUACCAGUACACGGGCCUGCGUACCAGUACAACCAUCAACCCUGUACCGGUACAGCUAUCAACCCUGUAUCGGUACACUGCCCGCUGAAGGCUACCCGAGAGCUGACCAAAAAUCCGACAUUUCGGGUUUUGGUGCUAAACUUUAAACCUCACUCCUCGGGAUUCGAACCAUAGGUCGGAACACUGUCUACGACCCACCAGAAAGUCUGAAAAAACUCAGAACACAUCCAAUCACUCGAACCUCGCAAUUUACAAAGGUCCAGUGUGUUACACUCCUAGUACCCUAGAAGCAUCAAAAUGGGAAUUAAACGAAUCAAACGAACAACCAUGAGGUUGAUCAAAAGCCAACUCAAGAAUAGGGCUAAAAACUAACCGAAUGCGAAGGGAACUCUCUCGAUCUCAAAAUGGGAGUUAGAGUCCUUCCAAUCCAACCUGAACAAAGGUCUUAAACCCAUCAAUUGGGUCCCAAAGCCCUCAAAUCAAAAAUUCCCAAAAUAAACCCUAAAAUCCAAAUCUAGGGUUUCAUCUGGUUUAAAGUUCCAAAACUAGGAUCUAGAGGAAGAAAAUUAGCCACUUAUCUCUAGGAUGCUCCAAACCAAACUCAAAAUCCUCAAGGGUUGAAGAUUGAUCCUACACAAAGCUCCACCCACAAGCUCCAAGCCACCAAAGGUAAGAAACGAGGGAGAGAAAGAUGCUCCAAGGCCUCCAAGCUUGCUCUCCUUCAACUCCUUCUUCUUCUCCUUCUUCUUCUCUUUCUAGAGAGUGUAGAGAGAGUGUGAGGGAGAGAAAUGAGGGUGAGAGAGAGAGGAAAUGGCCUAUAAGCCCUCUGUCACGCCCCGGGACCGGCGGAGGCCCUCCCGGUAGCGUGCCCAGACCCGCCAUAUGUCUACACAUAUAAGGCGUCUACAAUAAAAGCGGAAGUAAUGCAAGAGAUAGAACAAAUAGAAGAAGUGAAAUAACUAGCAGCUAAUGAUAUCAGAGCGAGUAAAGUUCUAACAUCUACACAAAGGUAAAGAAGUAAAGCUAGACAAUAAAAGAGAAACCAUAAGUAGUACAAUAUUUGUCUCUAGUACAAAAAGGGUGGUCUCUAUACAUAUACGGGUACAACUCUCAACCUCUCACCAAAAAGAUAACACGAGAGGUAGACCACCUGUCGAACGAUCCCUCGGCAAGCACGCUAGCCCGAGGCGAUACCCUUUCCGCGAUCCCUGGCCUAUCCCUGCGGGGAAGGCUCUGAAAAACAUCGAGAAAAAGAGGGCGUGAGAACUAUAAUUUAUAGUUCUCAGUGGGCAAUUACUGACCUCAGCUCAUCGCACCACUAGGCCCCAAAAGGAAAAAGGGGUAAGACCAAGAUAGUAAUAACCAUAAAGAUAAUAGUAACAUAGUAAGAAAGCAUAAAUGAAGUGUUAACCCAUAUAUCUCAAGUAAGCAUGAUGCCAUGGCGAUGUACAUCUACGCUAUCAUAAGGUAAUAUGUCCAAUGCAUACUAAUAUGACUCAAUAUAAUAAACAAGUAAACCUCACGAUGCAAUAUGUUAAUGCAUAAGGGUAAACUCUAUCCAAACAACCGAGUAUGCUACGAUGCAAUAAUGAAACCGGCAAGCAUACUAAAUGUACCAAUGCUAUAUCAUGAGCGUGUCCAGGUAAUCCAACUACUAAUCCUAUCUAGUAGUGAUUGUUCAUAUACAACACCGUGUCGAUUUCCAUUUCAAAUUAAGGACCUACCAAAGGUAGUUCAGCUUGUGCCGCCUAAGUGCCUGUGGUAGCCCAACAUCCCCACUCUUGGGAUGUGUCUGUCCCACUCGACCCCGUAGGCUUCUCAAUACCGCACGAGCGAACAUAAGUCGCGUAGGCUAACUCCGGAGUGCCGGCUUGUAGGGAGCGACCCUCACAAGCAUGUGCGAAUGAGCACAAAUGGCAAACAAGCGUGGUCAAUGGCUCAAGUAUCCAACCCUCAUGUCUCUAACAUGGUAUAGUCACUAGCAUCUCGAAGAUCUAGUUCUAAGUCAAAAAUGAAGUUCCAACCUUCUCUAGGUUUAGUGCCCCUUUAUGACACUUAGACAUUUAAUGAUUAAGCAUGUUUCACAUUCCUCAAUGGCCCUAUCCACUAGGUUCACACAUGUCCCGAGCUCAAUGCCGCUUGAUGACAUUAGCUCUCUAGUUCACAUACAAUCUAGUUCAAUACCUCUAGAUGGCAAUUUUGUCAUCUUUCAUGUCUCAAAUAAGCUUAAGUUUAAAUGCAUGAAUCGAAGCUCAUUUACACUAUAGAAGCAUGAAACCAAGUCUCAAAUUGAACGCUAAAUGCAACCAUAGGCCUACCAAGCUACUCUCUACUCCAUAGAGGUCCAAAAUUUCAUCAUAUACAAC
rnacentral:lncRNA from 1 species